ACUUUCAAGCACACUGCGCAUGCGCAGAUCAGCCUGCACGGCGCACGCACAGUCGACCAGUGUACUAGUGUAGGCACACCCGAACCUUGAUGUGAAAAACCUGCACAGUUUUCUUUGUUAGUGCUGUAUUUAAAUAAUCUUGAACGGUUUAGGCUGAGACAUCUAAAGUACCUGACUUCUGAAAUACAAAUACCUGACGUAUGCUGAGCUCCUAUCCUGUCACACCCGGUGUCCCGCCAUGCAGCAGCGUCGGAGCUGAACUGGUUCUCGCCAUGCCGUUCGCAAAGGAAGCUGUUCAGGUGAAGAGACGACCUUUUGGAAGGAAUCCAAGAAGCACCAUUGUAAUGGACCGAGUGGUAAAAUGAUCUCCACGGCCCGCAAAACUUAAAACCAGAACUGUUUAACAGACUCCUAAGACCACAUGUAGAAUUUACACGUCACUAAUCUUCCAAGGUUGCUUUGAAAAGUUCAAAGAUCUGUAUUCCCUGGAAACGGAGGCCACAAACUUCAAAUCUCGUGUGACGCCAGAUGUUAAAAGAAACAGCGAAGUUUAUGAGAUGAACUUCCUCCCAACAAGUCGGAUGAAGUUCGGAUCUGAGGAUGAUGGGGGCGACCGGAAACGGUGGAAUUCGGGAGGCUUGAUCGUGGAUUUAAAUUAUCGUUCCUGGCGAGCAAGACGUCCAUUAUCGCCUUCAUCAUUCAGGUAA